rnacentral:rRNA from 1 species
GAUGAACGCUGGCGGCGUGCCUAAUACAUGCAAGUCGAGCGAACAGACGAGGAGCUUGCUCCUCUGACGUUAGCGGCGGACGGGUGAGUAACACGUGGAUAACCUACCUAUAAGACUGGGAUAACUUCGGGAAACCGGAGCUAAUACCGGAUAAUAUAUUGAACCGCAUGGUUCAAUAGUGAAAGACGGUUUUGCUGUCACUUAUAGAUGGAUCCGCGCCGCAUUAGCUAGUUGGUAAGGUAACGGCUUACCAAGGCAACGAUGCGUAGCCGACCUGAGAGGGUGAUCGGCCACACUGGAGCUGAGCCACGGUCCAGACUCCUACGGGAGGCAGCAGUAUCGAAUCUUCCGCAAUGGGCGAAAGCCUGGCGGAGCAACGCCGCGUGAGAGAUGAAGGUCUUCGGUUCGUAAAACUCUGUUAUUAGGGAAGAACAAAUGUGUAAGUAGCUAUGCACGUCUUGACGGUACCUAAUCAGAAAGCCACGGCUAACUACGUG